AGAUUCCAUAAAAAAUGAUCCUGGUUCCAAGAAUAAAAGGAAGCUACUGCGCAUGUGAAUUCGUUUUCUGGGAAGCAGGUCGUUUCGAAGCUUUGUUUACAUCAUCUUGGUAAUUGUCAGGUAGCAAAAUGGAAUCAAGGUUUCAGCGUUGUUAUAAAUCUUUCACUCUAACCUUGUUUGAAGAGGAUUUUAUCAAUAUCGGUAAGCUGGUCAGUAAAUUCCCAAAUCAAGAGACUGGUGGAAACCUAUUUGGUCUAUGGACAAACCAAGGGAACGCUGUUGUCUUGGUUGCUACGGGGCCAGGCGAGAACUGUACUCGAAGCCCUGCAUCGUUCUUCCAGGAUAUAAAUUACAUGGCUCGAAUAGGAAACUUAUUGACAAGCACAUAUCCCUUGUGUCAUAUAGGUGAAUGGCAUUCUCACCACAGACUAUCAUUGCUAAAACCAAGCGAAGGAGACUGUAACACCAUAAGACGAAAUUAUCCACGAGGAUCCCAAGGCUUUAUACUCAUCAUUGCAAAUAUCAUCCAGGGCGGGCAAGUCAAGCUAUCGCCAUAUAAAUUUACUGACGAAGUAUCAGCAUACCAAGUGGGAGAAGUUGAAAGUUUGCCUAUAAAGAAUCCUUUCAACGAUGUGGGUAUAAUAAGGUCAGCUAUAAAUAAAGGUAAAGAGCUUAUACCAAAACAACCAAGAGAGAUUUCUUAUCUGGAAGAACACGAUAGGACUAUACGAAGUCGCCAAAGAAGAAAUGAUUUCGAUACCAAAAGUCGACUCCGUAGUCGUUCACGAUCACCACAAAAGAUUCCCCAGAGAUACCAUCCAGAGAGAACAACACAAAGAGAUCAUCAGAGAUCAACCAGCCAAAGCCACAUUCCUCAGCCUCCUCUCUAUCCAAGAGAUCCGACUAAUAUAAUAAUUUCUCGAGCCUCUGGAAUCCAGGGGAAAACUUAUCCAAGAACAAGAAGGAAUGAGGAUCAUCGAGCUACAGAAAGCAGCACCGUACCAUUCAACAGAACAACCGUCCACGCUUUGACAGCUCUAACAGAGGCGAACAAUCAUUUGACUUCUAUUCAAAAGCCUUGGUAUGACCGGCAAGAAAUGUUGCGAGAAACGUUGUCCUUUAUAAAGGACCGUGCAGAUGAUAGAGAAGUUACAAUCAAAAGGGACAAGAAUACAAUGGAAGUGUCCUUUGAAUUCAAACAUAACCACUACAAAUGGAUAGCAAGUUUUCCAAAUGGUUUUCCACACAGUGGAAUUGUUACACUUAAAAAGGAUACUUCCACUCAUCCAUGUGUAACUAGGAUUUGCUUGCGCGGAGGUUUUAAUGACUUUCAAAAUGAUUUUCGACUAAAGUGCAGUUGUAGUGCUUGCUUAUGAGUUAAAUUAGAUCAGAUAAGCAUAGUUUAGCUUGCGCCCAUAUUGUCCACAACUUUAGACUAAUAUAGACUUUUGGUUAAAGAAUUUUGUUAUGAAGCGUACUGGAAAGGGAUAAGAAAGGAAGAAGAGCUUGCUACCGAUACACAAAGUAUUGAGUAAAGUGACACAUUGGUGUCCAACAGGCUAUUUUAUUCCUUUUUCGCGGGUAUAUAAUACUUGCUAAAUGUAUUUAAUAGACAAAAUAUACUCACUCAGCAAACUCGGCACCAUGGGUAAAGUAAAUAUACUAUCAUGUUUCUAUCAUGUUCCCCAGGUAACUAUUAGUUUUCCAAUAUUGGCGUUCAUUAAGGCUCAUUAUCAAACCAUAUAGAUACACUCUUUUAUUGACAUGUAAAAUACGCAUUUUGUAAUAAUGUAAUUAUGCAAAGUUGAACAAAAUACACACCAUAAAAAGAUCAACACUAACCGACAGUCGAUUUCACACUAACCAUUUCACUUGUUUGACUUAACAGCUCAUAUUUGUAAUGUGUCAGUAUGCGAACGUAUUGUCAGGAUCUUACAUUGGUAAUGUCUACAUCAUAAAUUUGAACUCAACUUCAGAAUUUCUUUGUACGCAGGCAUGAACUAAGCUUGUUCAAUGCAUGUAAUCAUAUAUGAGAUGAAUUCAUGUCGGAUUCCAAUUGUUUUUCUAGGUAACAAUACCGUURCAUUCAACACGUAACGCAAUAUCACUCUCUGGGAUUCCCGGAAAUUGUGAACUAAUUAAAUUCUUAGCUACGUUUGUUAUGUUUCUAGUCUUGUCCCAAUGGUUUUGAAAUUCAGGUGAUGCAAAGAGAUGGCGACGACCAUAACAAUUCACCAUGGCGAGAUUUUACUGAUACAAAGAAUGAUCCAAAAUACUAAAGACGCGMGAAAGCUUCGAGGUGCUUUAUAUGGACUUUAUACACAAUCAGGUCAGCCGGUAGUUCAGUUGAUAUGUGGAAGCAAGGAGAAGAAGAAUUUGUCAAAAUGUCAGAAGUACCUCGAGAGCGAGCAUGGACUUCUUCUGUUAGGAAGGUGGACUAUUGCAGCGAGCGAUGCAGAUGCUAUGCUCAUAUAUGUGGCUUUCUAUCUUUUUAUUAAGUAUCGUCCAAGGAUGUUGGAAUCAAUUUGGUGUUUGAUUUCAAAGGGGAGUUGUACACUGCAUUUGAUGCCUAUUGCAAUGGAGCUAAUCUUGAAAUCCUUCAAGGUAAUGGAGCGUUGAGAUUGUACGAGCCGUUGACUCAAGAACUUGGGAAGUUACUCAAAACGGACAAUUCACCAAUUUUUCCUGAUAUUAGAGUGAUUCCAAAUAACGUCAAGAAAUCGACGGAGAAAGACAGUGAGAAUGUAAUAGACUGUGAGACUGCAUCAACAAACAGUUUUCUAAAUAAGCAAUCAAACUAUACCAGGACGAAUACUGAUAAUAAUGAGAGGAUAGUUACUAGUAAAAAACAACAUGAAAGGAGCCGUUCAAAGCAAAAAGAAACUUACGUAUGAACAUUUCUAUUUUAUCAURAAAGUUUUUGGUCGGCUGCACCUAAAGCAGUAAUGAUAUUAUUUGCACCGGAAUUAUGAAGUAGUGUCAUGUAUUGGGGUAAGUCCCCGCGUCUUUCUAACUGAAUGGUGUAAAUCUAACCAUGUUUAUUUCUCCGAGUCAUGUCUAUCAGCUCUGGAAAGUGAACACCGUAAUAUUGUCAAUAAAAUAAUCAUAAGCUAU